rnacentral:rRNA from 1 species
AGGGUGAACGCUGGCGGCAGGCCUAACACAUGCAAGUCGAACGGCAGCACAGUAAGAGCUUGCUCUUAUGGGUGGCGAGUGGCGGACGGGUGAGGAAUACAUCGGAAUCUGCCUAUUUGUGGGGGAUAACGUAGGGAAACUUACGCUAAUACCGCAUACGACCUACGGGUGAAAGCGGAGGACCUUCGGGCUUCGCGCAGAUAGAUGAGCCGAUGUCGGAUUAGCUAGUUGGUGGGGUAAAGGCCCACCAAGGCGACGAUCCGUAGCUGGUCUGAGAGGAUGAUCAGCCACACUGGAACUGAGACACGGUCCAGACUCCGUACGGGAGCAGCAGGUGGGGAAUA